rnacentral:rRNA from 1 species
CCUACGGGUGGCAGCAGUGAGGAAUAUUGGUCAAUGGGCGCGAGCCUGAACCAGCCAAGUAGCGUGAAGGAUGACUGCCCUACGGGUUGUAAACUUCAUUUAUAAAGGAAUAAAGUGAGGCACGUGUGCAUUAUUGUAUGUACUUUAUGAAUAAGGAUGGGCUAACUCCGUGCCAGCAGCCGCGGUAAUACGGAGGAUCCGAGCGUUAUCCGGAGUUACUGGGUUUAAAGGGAGCGUAGAUGGGAUGUUAAGUCAGUUGUUAAAGUUUUGGGCUUAACCCUAAAAUUGCAAUUGUUACUGGCAGCCUUGAGUACAGUUGAGGAAGGCGGAAUUCGUGGUGUAGCGGUGAAAUGCUUAGAUAUCACGAAGAACUCCGAUUGCGAAGGCAGCCUUCUAAACUGCCACUGACAUUGAUGCUCGAAAGUGUGGGUAUCAAACAGGAUUAGAUACCCUAGUAGUC